GACGAACCGUGCGAACGUUGUUCGGAUUCACUGGGCGUAAAGCGCACGUAGGCGGAUUGUUAAGUCAGGGGUGAAAUCCUGGAGCUCAACUCCAGAACUGCCUUUGAUACUGACGGUCUUGAGUUCGGGAGAGGUGAGUGGAACUGCGAGUGUAGAGGUGAAAUUCGUAGAUAUUCGCAAGAACACCAGUGGCGAAGGCGGCUCACUGGCCCGAUACUGACGCUGAGGUGCGAAAGCGUGGGGAGUAAACAGG
rnacentral:rRNA from 1 species